AGCGGCGGACGGGUGAGUAACGCGUGGGUAACCUGCCCUAUACACACGGAUAACAUACCGAAAGGUAUGCUAAUACGAGAUAAUAUAAGAGAUUCACAUGGAUUUCUUAUCAAAGCUGAGGCGGUAUAGGAUGGACCCGCGUCUGAUUAGCUAGUUGGUAAGGCAACGGCUUACCAAGGCGACGAUCAGUAGCCGACCUGAGAGGGUGAUCGGCCACAUUGGAACUGAGACACGGUCCAAACUCCUACGGGAGGCAGCAGUGGGGAAUAUUGCACAAUGGGCGAAAGCCUGAUGCAGCAACGCCGCGUGAGUGAUGAAGGCCUUCGGGUCGUAAAACUCUGUCCUCAAGGAAGAUAAUGACGGUACUUGAGGAGGAAGCCCCGGCUAACUACGUGCCAGCAGCCGCGGUAAUACGUAGGGGGCUAGCGUUAUCCGGAUUUACUGGGCGUAAAGGGUGCGUAGGUGGUCUCUUAAGUCAGGAGUGAAAGGCUACGGCUUAACCGUAGUAAGCUCUUGAAACUGGGAGACUUGAGUGCAGGAGAGGAAAGUGGAAUUCCUAGUGUAGCGGUGAAAUGCGUAGAUAUUAGGAGGAACACCAGUAGCGAAGGCGGCUUUCUGGACUGUAACUGACACUGAGGCGCGAAAGCGUGGGGAGCAAACAGGAUUAGAUACCCUGGUAGUCCACGCCGUAAACGAUGAGUACCAGGUGU
rnacentral:rRNA from 1 species